AUCUACAGCCAUGCUACCCUGAACAUCCCCGAUCCCGUUUGAUCUUGGAAGCUAAGCAGGGUCAGGCCUGGUUAGUACUUGGAUGGGAGACCACCUAGGAAGACCAGGUGCUUUAGGCA
rnacentral:rRNA from 1 species